rnacentral:rRNA from 1 species
UACGUAGGGGGCAAGCGUUGUCCGGAAUCAUUGGGCGUAAAGAGCGUGUAGGCGGUCCGGUAAGUCGGCUGUGAAAGUCCAGGGCUCAACCCUGGGAUGCCGGUCGAUACUGCCGGACUAGAGUUCGGAUGAGGCGAGUGGAAUUCCCGGUGUAGCGGUGAAAUGCGCAGAUAUCGGGAGGAACACCUAUGGCGAAGGCAGCUCGCUGGGACGUUACUGACACUGAGGCGCGAAGGCGUGGGGAGCGAACGGG